rnacentral:lncRNA from 11 species
ACCCAAUCUUGCUUUCUAUUUUGCCCUGAAGUUCCAGAACUUCCAGCAAACUGCAGACUAUCCGUCAACUUUGUCCAAAGUGGAGCAAAUUCAGUUUAAGCAACCACCUCCAAAAGUUGGAGUGUAUCAUGGGGACAACUAGCAAUAUAUUAAGGGAAUGACUUCAGAAACUACAAGUGGCUUCUGGUGUGGGAGAAUUGAUAGUCUGUAAGCACGUUGUCCAGGGGACACCUGGCUGUUUUGAUGUUUUAUCAUCCUUGUGGGAGGCUUCUCUCAUGUCCCCACAUGGGUAGCUGCAGCUGGAAGAGGAAGCUCAUCUGUGCUCUCUUCAGAUUUAAACUGGCAGUCUUCAGAUUGGCAACCCAACCUUCAGCAUGCAGAAGAUGAGGAAGUACUUCAUCAAGGACUCGGCGUCACAGUGGAUGAUGAAGCAGCAGCUCGCCCUGUGGCCGGAAUCGAGCAUACUCUUAUGAAGGAUAUGGGACCAGAAACACGUCAGAUGAAGUUCCAGCCAUGGUGUUCCAGAAAACAGAAGCAGAAACUCCUGCAAGAGGAGGAGGAGGAGGAAGAGGAGGAGGAGGAGGAAGCAACAACGAGUCUACAGUAUCCAUAGAGGAGGCAUAACUGUACUUUUCAUAGAUAUCCAGAACCAUGUAUAAGAGCAAAUCCUGUUGCAGUUGAUAUCAUC